AUGAGGAGAUUUGAUGCCCCUUACAUCAAUUUAGGAGGCAAAGAUCCUGUUCUCUUUCGAAGAAACGUCUUUCAUGUUGAUUUUCCUAAAGAGUGGGCCACCUCUGAUCUAAUCAGUCUCUUCAAACCUUACGGUGAUGUGGAUGUAGUCUGGUGCAAUUCAACCUCUGCCUGGGUCUCUCUCUAUGAUAAGAGCAACAACACAAUUCAGAAAGUUAUUAAGAAUCUAGUGAACUGCACUGAGCCAAAGAAUUACACAGUCCGAACAUUUGCCCAGUAUCAAGACUAUCUAGAGAGCAUGUCCUCGCCUGUAACAAAUCCAUCACCUUCGAUGGGAUACCGAAAGCGAAAACUCCUGGAAAUGGCUUCACCUGAUGCUGGAAACUCAGCAAAAACGCCAAAGAUGGAGCCUACAACCACGAAUGAAUCUGAAGAUGGUGACGGCGAGGACGAGGAAAGCUCCAACAACCUGACCGGAGAUACGGCCGAGAUGGAGGAGGGCUCGGAAAAUGGCAGCGCCGAGACGGACGGAGACGGGGAGGAGGAGGCCACGUCCGCCGAGGAGGAGGAAGCAGAUGCCGAGGAGGAGGAAGGAGAUACCGAGGAGGAGGAAGGAGAUGCCGCGGAGAACGGUAAAGAGGUCGAAGAGGAAGAAGAAGAAGACGAACUUGACGAGCAUGACGAUGACGAGAACGGAGUCGAAGAACUCAAAAGCAAAGGACUCACCACAAAUUCAAAGCAACCCAGAAAAUCUGGCAGACCCAAAAAGACAUCGAAUAGCAAAUCAAAGCAAUUGUUCCAAGAAAAUGAUGCUUGGGAAUGACAUGAUCAAACAUACCCUUCCGUUUGUCUUUAAAUGUUAAACUGCUGUCGACGCCUCUGGUUUGCACAUCUUCCAUCAACAUGUUCAUCGCUGCAGAUUAUUGACAUCGAAACACAUAUCUUCUGGUCUUGGAACGAUUUACUUACUCUUUUUCGACGAAUUCAAUGAUUCCCCGUUAACAAAUCAUUAUACUUACUGAAACAGCAAAAAUCUGUUCUGACCGACUGUCAGCUAUUAUGGGCCGUUUUUUUUUCAAAUUCCAGCGAAUGACUUUGAUCCUAAAUAAAAAGAGUGUUAUAUUGGUACAGCGUUGCAAAAAAAGUUUUUUUUUAAUGAACUUUCCCGUUGAUAUUUGUUCAGCAAAUUUUAACUUAAGUAUCCAUUGCCACGAUUUUUUAACGAGUUUUUUCCUUUCGCGAGACGAGAGAAAACCUCGUUAAAUAAAAUAUAAGUACCUAACGUGGUGUCAUUCUUGUUUUACCCGAUGAUUUUAACUGGCCAGGACUUACACCAAAAUUUGAAAUCUGUACUCUCGUGGUAUGUUGUGUACUUUCCAGAAAGUUAAUAAAACUGUGAAACCCGACUUUAUCUGUUUGAUUAUUCAUUCACUAUUUCUGCCUCAAUGCAACCAAGUCUCUUGGUAGCUUUGCCGAAGUACACAAGUU
rnacentral:lncRNA from 1 species